GAUCAUGGCUCAGGACGAACGCUGGCGGCGUGCUUAACACAUGCAAGUCGAACGGAGUGCUCAUGACAGAGGUUUCGGCCAAUGGAUUGAGUUACUUAGUGGCGGACUGGUGAGUAACGCGUGAGGAACCUGCCUUUCAGAGGGGGACAACAGUUGGAAACGACUGCUAAUACCGCAUGACACAUCGAAGGGGCAUCCCUUUGAUGUCAAAGAUUUUAUCG
rnacentral:rRNA from 1 species